rnacentral:rRNA from 1 species
CGCCAGCCCGCUCAGAAACUUAAAUGAAUUGACGGGGGCCCGCACAAGCGGUGGAGCAUGUGGUUUAAUUCGAUGAUACGCGAGGAACCUUACCUGGGCUCAAAUGUAUGUUGACGUAUUCUGAAAGGGAUACUUCUUCGGACAAUAUACAAGGUGCUGCAUGGUUGUCGUCAGCUCGUGCCGUGAGGUGUCGGGUUAAGUCCCAUAACGAGCGCAACCCCUAUCAUUAGUUGCCAUCAGGUCAAGCUGGGGACUCUAAUGAAACUGCCUACGCAAGUAGUGAGGAAGGUGGGGAUGACGUCAAAUCAGCACGGCCCUUACGUCCAGGGCUACACACGUGCUACAAUGGCCGGUACAAAGGGCAGCUACCUGGUGACAGGAUGCUAAUCUCAAAAGCCGGUCUCAGUUCGGAUCGGAGUCUGCAACCCGACUCCGUAAAGCUGGAAUCGCUAGUAAUCGCGCAUCAGCCAUGGCGCGGUGAAUACGUUCCCGGGCCUU